AAUCAACGCUGGCGGCGUGCCUCAGACAUGCAAGUCGAACGAUUAAAGCUCUCUUCGGAGAGUGUAUAGAGUGGCGCACGGGUGAGUAACACGUAAGUAAUCUACCCUCGAGUGGGGAAUAACAACCGGAAACGGUUGCUAAUACCGCAUAAUGCAGCGGCACCGCAAGGUGACAGUUGUUAAAGAUUUAUCGCUUGAGGAGGAGCUUGCGGCAGAUUAGCUAGUUGGUAGGGUAACGGCUUACCAAGGCUACGAUCUGUAACCGGUCUAAGAGGACGGUCGGUCACACUGACACUGAAUAACGGGUCAGACUCCUACGGGAGGCAGCAGUCGGGAAUUUUGGGCAAUGGGCGAAAGCCUGACCCAGCAACGCCGCGUGAGUGAAGAAGGCCCUCGGGUUGUAAAGCUCUUUUGUCCGGAAAGAAAAGCGCCGGGUUAAUACCCUGGUGUCCUGACGGUACCGGAAGAAUAAGCACCGGCUAACUUCGUG
rnacentral:rRNA from 1 species